rnacentral:lncRNA from 1 species
CAAUAUGAACAUAUUUGACCACAAGCAAUUCAUAUAACACAAUUAUUUUUAUUUCCAAAUGGCGAACAUUGUGUGUCAACAAAAAAAGAAAACCUGAAUUUUGCUUCCGUUGAUGCAAUUCAUGUGAGAGUUCUCAUGAAGUACAUUCGUCAUGUCUUUAAGAACAGCCCUUCUCUUAGGCUGAACACCAGUAGCAGUACUAGAGGUACCAGGUCUGUUCUCAUCUGAGGCAGAUCUUUUCGACUUUUGGACUCUGCUCCCAAUACAUGCUUCUUAUCCCUUUUUUUGUGGAUGGGUGGUAGGGGGUGGUAAUUNNNNNNNNNNNNNNNNNNNNNNNNNUAUCCUGAAGUGGGAUGGCCUUACAGGAACUUCUGUUCACAGGCACUAGAUGGACUAAACCACAUUGUGCUGGAGUGACAUAUCUACUUAGCUGAGGUAACAUAUCCUCCUUGCAGUUUGCCCCCGAACUUAUUUCUUGUGAUCCCUCAACCUUCACUUUCUUUACUUUAUCAGCUAUAUCCUCUUUUCCUUUCUCUUGGAGCUGUGACAAUUUUACCGAAACAGCAGGUUUCGCCUUAUUGUUCCUCUUAUCGGAGCCUUUUUUAACCUAUCACCAAUAUGAACAUAUUUGACCACAAGCAAUUCAUAUAACACAAUUAUUUUUAUUUCCAAAUGGCGAACAUUGUGUGUCAACAAAAAAAGAAAACCUGAAUUUUGCUUCCGUUGAUGCAAUUCAUGUGAGAGUUCUCAUGAAGUACAUUCGUCAUGUCUUUAAGAACAGCCCUUCUCUUAGGCUGAACACCAGUAGCAGUACUAGAGGUACCAGGUCUGUUCUCAUCUGAGGCAGAUCUUUUCGAUCUUUUGGACUCUGCUCCCAAUACAUGCUUCUUAUCCUGUUUUGUGGAUGGGUGUAGGGGUG